GCCAACGUCCAUACCACGUUGAAAACACCGGUUC
rnacentral:sRNA from 1 species